rnacentral:rRNA from 1 species
UACGAAGGGGGCGAGCGUUGUUCGGAUUUACUGGGCGUAAAGGGCGCGUAGGCGGCCCUCUUUGUCGCGUGUGAAAGCCCCGGGCUCAACCUGGGAAUGGCGCGCGAAACGGGGGGGCUUGAGUUCGGGAGAGGAGCGUGGAAUUCCCAGUGUAGAGGUGAAAUUCGUAGAUAUUGGGAAGAACACCAGUGGCGAAGGCGGCACUCUGGGCCGGAACUGACGCUGAGGAGCGAAAGCGUGGGGAGCGAACAGG